UUUAUGGAGAGUUUGAUCCUGGCUCAGGAUGAACGCUGGCGGCGUGCCUAAUACAUGCAAGUCGAGCGAACAGAUAAGGAGCUUGCUCCUUUGACGUUAGCGGCGGACGGGUGAGUAACACGUGGGUAACCUACCUAUAAGACUGGAAUAACUCCGGGAAACCGGGGCUAAUGCCGGAUAACAUGUUGAACCGCAUGGUUCUACAGUGAAAGACGGUCUUGCUGUCACUUAUAGAUGGACCCGCGCCGUAUUAGCUAGUUGGUGGGGUAACGGCCUACCAAGGCGACGAUACGUAGCCGACCUGAGAGGGUGAUCGGCCACACUGGAACUGAGACACGGUCCAGACUCCUACGGGAGGCAGCAGUAGGGAAUCUUCCGCAAUGGGCGAAAGCCUGACGGAGCAACGCCGCGUGAGUGAUGAAGGUCUUCGGAUCGUAAAGCUCUGUUGUUAGGGAAGAACAAAUGUGUAAGUAACUGUG
rnacentral:rRNA from 1 species